GACGAACGCUGGCGGCGUGCUUAACACAUGCAAGUCGAACGGAAAGGCCCUGCUUGCAGGGUACUCGAGUGGCGAACGGGUGAGUAACACGUGGGUGAUCUGCCCUGCACUUCGGGAUAAGCCUGGGAAACUGGGUCUAAUACCGGAUAGGAGCCAUUUUUAGUGUGAUGGUUGGAAAGUUUUUUCGGUGUAGGAUGAGCUCGCGGCCUAUCAGCUUGUUGGUGGGGUAAUGGCCUACCAAGGCGGCGACGGGUAGCCGGCCUGAGAGGGUGGACGGCCACAUUGGGGGGGGGGUAGGGCCCGGACUCCUGGGGGAGGCGGCAGGGGGGAAGAGUGCGGAAUGGGGGGAAGCCUGAUGCAGCGACGCCGCGUGGGGGAUGACGGCCUUCGGGUUGUAAACUCCUUUCGCUAGGGACGAAGCUUUUGUGACGGUACCUAGAUAAGAAGCACCGGCUAACUACGUG
rnacentral:rRNA from 1 species